rnacentral:rRNA from 1 species
GACGAACGCUGGCGGCGUGCCUAAUACAUGCAAGUAGAACGCUGAAGGAGGAGCUUGCUUCUCUGGAUGAGUUGCGAACGGGUGAGUAACGCGUAGGUAACCUGCCUGGUAGCGGGGGAUAACUAUUGGAAACGAUAGCUAAUACCGCAUAAGAGUAGAUGUUGCAUGACAUUUGCUUAAAAGGUGCAAUUGCAUCACUACCAGAUGGACCUGCGUUGUAUUAGCUAGUUGGUGGGGUAACGGCUCACCAAGGCGACGAUACAUAGCCGACCUGAGAGGGUGAUCGGCCACACUGGGACGGAGACACGGCCCAGACUCCUACGGGAGGCAGCAGGAGGGAAUCUUCGGCAAUGGACGGAAGGCUGACCGAGCAACGCCGCGGGAGUGAAGAAGGUUUUCGGGUCGUAAAGCUCUGUUGUAAGAGAAGAACGAGUGUGAGAGUGGAAAGUUCACACUGUGACGGUAGCUUACCAGAAAGGGACGGCUAACUACGUG